rnacentral:lncRNA from 1 species
AGGCGGCCAGACUUGGAACACUCAGGAAUACAGACAGACGUAGGAAUUGCUUAAAAACAAGAAGUUCUCCCACCCUUGUUGGAGCGAAUGCGCGAGUCUGACAGUGAACCUUUUGGGAAAGAGCCAGCAUUGUAACCGUGCUCGGUGACUUCUCUGGCUUUAUAGGGAACAGAUGUGAGGAUAGCAAGGGGCGCACACGUGAAAUGCCUGGCAGGUACCCCUUUGUGGCUCUACUUACUUCUUGCCAUUCCUCUGCCCUCCAAGUGUAGAGGGGACACCGUGGGCCUUGGCAGUCGCGUUCCGACUCCGGUCUGGUGUAUGGGUUGCACUCGGUCUCUCUGGCUAUUUUGUGUGUUCCGAUCUGACAGCCCACAUGCCUCUGCUGUACGCCUCGGCCACAGGACACAGAGCACUAAGAAGACAGAGAACAUUCACAGUCUGGUGAGACAAGUUUGAGAUCUCAUAUUUUCAGCUCAUCCUUGAAAACCUUUCUUCGAUUUGACUGACCUUGAUGGCUCCCUGGAAUCUCACCUACAUUUUAUGGGAAAUUCAACUCUCCAGAGAGAAGAGCUUUCAGAUAGCUGCGGGACUUGCAACUGUGACUUUCAGCUUUCGCUUUUGAAUGAGGCUCCAAAUGUCUCAAUGGUGGCACUAUUUCCAGAUUUGGGGUAAGCCAAUUCUUUGUUGUUGGGGUUGUGCUGUGCAUUGUAGACUAUUAAGCAGCAUUCCUGGCCUCUACCCACUAGAUGCCCAUAGCACCUGCAUCCCCAUUGUAACAACCAAAACUGUCUCCAGACAUUGCCAAAUGUCCACCGCAGGCUAAAAUCACCUCCCAAUUGAGAACUAUUGAAUUAUACUAAGGUUCUCAGAAAGUCCUUCAGCAAGUUCUCAAAACUG